rnacentral:lncRNA from 1 species
ACCACUCCCACUAUUGAAACUUAUAUUGGCCAGAGUUCUUGGUGUGCUUUUUUUCUUGGUAUAUUUAAUAACAAGAACUCCAACUUAUUUAACGAGAGUUACAGUUGGGCAAAAUGCUUUUGUACUCAUAUCCUGCUUGAAGGCUUCCCACAGGCAUCUGGUUGACCACUGUGAGAACAGCAUGCUGGACUAGAUGUAAGUUUGACUGCAGAACAUCAAAAGCUUUUGUUGGACUGGGAAUGGGAAACCUGGGGCCCAGGGGCCAAAUUCAACUCUCGAAGCUUCUCUGUCUGGCCCUUGGAACUCACUCCAGGCCACACCUUCGCUCCCUUGCUCACACUCCUCCCUGCCUUCACAUCUUGACUGCAUUCUUCUUUGCUGGCCUGUGUCCUUGAACUCUGAUUCUGUCUGUUGUUUGCCUGGAUGGAGGAUAGAGAGGGGUGUGUGAAUAUCUGUCAAAUCUAGCCUAUUGUACAAAUGCAGUGUUUUUUCUCUUAAAAAAUGUUUAGGGGUACUCUCAUUUUGACUCAAAAAACCCACCAUUUUAUAGUUCAAAUUGGGAAAAAUAAAUACAGCAAAUGGACAAAAGUACAAAGAACAUGCAUUAUCACACAACACCGUUGUCCCAUCUUUUGUUUUUACAUAGUCAUCAUUAACUUUACACUUCUUUGCUGGCUGUGAUGAUGAAAAAUGGUUAGUAAUUUUCCUACUCAUAUUGAAAUACUGCCCCUCAAUGAGGCCAAACUUUCAUUAGUAAAAAACCGCACAUCCACAUUCCACACUGCUUCACACAUCAAACGCUCACUUCUGUCUGAAACUCAGGAAACACCGUGACAGGAAAUGAGGCCGCCAUUGGGAUUAGCAACAGAACUGACGAUUCACUGUGUUAUUCAAUGGAACUGACUAUUCACCAUGCUAGAGAAGAAACUAUAUAUAUAUAUACAUAUAUAUUAGUUUCUUCACCCAUUAGGAUUCACAAAAUGUUUAGGGGUAUGCAUAUUCCUGCAUCCCUCCAAAAAAAAGCACUGUACAAAGGUAACAUUUGCAUUUGUUGCUCCACCUCCUUUUGCAUGGCAUGUGGCCCUCAGAAGGUUGCCCAAGAUGGGAAUGUGGCCCUUGGGCUGAAUUGUUUUCUUCUCAACCUCAGAACGUAGGGAAUAAAUUACCCUACGAGCCUUUACCUGAGAGACGUUUACAGCUGCCAUCCCAGCAUUAGCAGAAGAGUACCUGACAGAGGAACAGGUGAGUGAGUUAUUCCCUCCUCUUAUACCUCCUCUCCUGUAUACCUGAAGGACCAUCUCCACCCCCAUCAUUCAGCCCGGAUACUGAGAUCCAUCACCGAGGGCCUUCUGGCAGUUCCCUCACUACGAGAAUGAGGUUACAGGGAACUAGGCAGAGGGCCUUCUUGGUAGUGGCGCCUGCCCUGUGGAACGCCCUCCCAGCAGAUAUCAAGGCAAUAAACAACUAUUUUACUUUUAAAAGUAGCCUGAAGGCGGCCCUGUUUAUGGAAGUUUUUAAUGUCUGAC